rnacentral:rRNA from 1 species
UACGUAGGUGGCAAGCGUUAUCCGGAAUUACUGGGCGUAAAGCGCACGCAGGCGGUCUUGUAAGUUUGACGUGAAAGCUCCCGGCUUAACUGGGAGAGGUCGUUGAAGACUGCAAGACUUGAGGAAAUGAGAGGGGUGUAGAAUUCCCGGUGUAGUGGUGAAAUGCGUAGAUAUCGGGAGGAACACCAGUGGCGAAGGCGACUACCUGGCCUGUUCUUGACGCUGAGGCGCGAAAGCUAGGGGAGCAAACGGG